rnacentral:rRNA from 1 species
UAGCUAGUUGGUAAGGUAACGGCUUACCAAGGCAACGAUGCGUAGCCGACCUGAGAGGGUGAUCGGCCACACCGGAACUGAGACACGGUCCAGACUCCUACGGGAGGCAGCAGUAGGGAAUCUGCCGCAAUGGGCGAAAGCCUGACGGAGCAACGACGCGUGAGUGAUGAAGGUGUUCGCAUCGUAUAACUCUGUUAUUAGGGAAGAACAAAUGUGUAAGUAACUAUGCA